UUUAAACGUAUAGGUUUUCUGUUUCCAACUUUAAUCAUCUGUCUUAUUUAAAAUUCUUUUAUGAGUAGUAUUUUUAUUGUUAUUAGAUGAUAAAAUAUGAAUAGUAUUUUAUGUGUGACUUAUAUUUUUUAAUUUUUUAAAUAAGACGGAUGAUUAAAGUUGAACACGAAAACCCACACUACAUUUAAA
rfam:Oryza punctata chromosome 9, whole genome shotgun sequence.